rnacentral:rRNA from 1 species
AGAAAUAAAGCUAAUGGCGAAUGCCUUGGCAGUUUAAGCCGAAGAAGGACGGGUACUGACGCCCGAAAACAACGAUGAGCCCGUAAGCAGGCGUUAUCAAUCGUUGGUUUCCGAAUGGGGCAACCCAACCCUGCGUAAGCAGAGUAAACCUAAGCUACGCAAGUAGCGUGGGUAGGUAACCUGGUGAACUGAAACAUCUCAGUAACCAGAGGAAAAAAAAACAAUAGUGAUUGCGUUAGUAGCGGCGAGCGAAAACGUAACAGCCUAAACCUGGUCGUAAGACUAGGUGUUGCGGGGCAAAUAAUAUGGAAUCCUAUCUCGGGUAAAAGAACGUUCUGGAAAGGACGGCCACAGAAAGUGAUAGCCUUGUAUUUAAAAUCCGAGAUGGUCCUAUUUUGUUCCCAAGUACCACGAGGCACGGCAAACCUUGUGGGAAGCCGGGUCGGUCACGACCCAAGGCUAAAUACUUAAACUGACCGAUAGUGAACUAGUACCGUGAGGGAAAGGUGAAAAGCACCCCGUUAAGGGGAGUGAAAUAGAAACUGAAACCAUUAGCUAACAAGCAGGUAAAGCUUGUGCUUUGCACAAGCAAGUUGAAAAGUUUGUAAAGUUUUUAAAGUUUAUAAAGAAAAUCUCUUUAUGAACUUUUUACUUUAUGAACUUUAUGAACUUGCUCGCGCAGAGCGCGAGUGAUACCGUGCCUAUUGAAGAAUGAGUCAGCGAGUAUACGUUUUAGUGUUAUGUUUAAUCCCGAUUAAAUUGGGAGGAGACAAAGCGAAAGCGAGUCCUAAUAGGGCGAAUUUAUACUUAACGUAUGACCCGAAACUGGGUGAGCUAACCAUGGGCAGGAUGAACCCCGAUGAAAAUCGGGAGGAGGUCCGGACCCGUUGUCGGUGAAAUGACAUGGGAAGACUUGUGGUUAGGGGUAAUAUGCCUAUCGAACCCAGAGAUAGCUGGUUCUCCUCGAGAUAUAUUUAGGUAUAGCCUCGUUCUUAAUUUUUCGCGGGGUAGAGCGACUAGAUGGUCCAGCAAGCGUAAGCGAGCGGGAUCAACUAAACUCCGAAUACGCGAAAAAAGUAAACGGGAGUCAGUCGAGCCGGGAUAAGCUGGUUUCGGCGAGAGGGAAACAUCCCAGACUCUCAUCUAAGGUUCCUAAAUAACUUUUAAGUGAAAAGGUCGUUGCGUUUCCAAUACAGAUGGGAGGUUGGCUCAGAAGCAGCCAUCCUUUAAAGAGUGCGUAACAGCUCACCAUAAUAUGUCCGACAUUACGUCGGACAGGAAACCAGGCGCCCAAAAUGAUCGGAGCUAAAAAGUUUACCGAAGAUGGAGAUGCUAUCGCAAGAUAGCGUGGUAGAGGAGCUUUCCAAAAGCAGCGAAGUAUUACCGUAAGGUAAGAUGGAGCUUUUGGAAGUGAGAAUGCUGACAUAAGUAGUGAAUCUCCCGAUAAAAACUCGGGAUGCCGCAUGUCUAAGGUUUCCCCGGCAAUGUCAAUCAUCCGGGGGUCAGUCGAAUCUAACCCUGUGCCCAUCGUGGUACAGGGGAUGUACAAAUCGUUAAUAUUCGAUUACUUAUUUUUUGGCGUUAUUACUUGAUUUAUGACGAAGUUUGAUAUUUCUACCCUUCUAUAUGGGGGGUUAAGUAAUAAAUUCCGACGCAAGUCGGGGCGAGUUACAAAUACAAUUCUGUCGCAAGACGGGAGAGUAGGAUGACUUAAGCUUCCGGGAAAAAUAAAUCAAGGAGUCAAAAAAUAAUUCGUACCGCAAACCGACACAGGUGGACUGGUGGAGAACACCAAGGCAAACGGGUAAUGGUUGUUCAAGGAAUUCGGCAAAAAAGCUGAGCGUAAGUUAUACAAGAUGCUCUGGCCGAUGUUACAUCGGCCUUCAACAAAAGAUGUCAACCGACUGUUUAGCAAAAACACAGGUUCCUGCAAACCCCAAUAGGGGAUAUAUAGGAGCUGAGACCUGUCCAGUACUGGUAAGUCAACCGCUUUGGGUGAUCCAAUUCAUUUGGUUAGCUCGAGGUGUAAGCUCCAGUGAACGACAGCUCUAACCCUGAGAGUUCUAAGGUAGCGUAGCCCCUUGCCGGGUAAGUUCCGGCCCGCAUGAAAGGUGUAACGAGUUGACAACUGUCUUGAACUGCCGCCCGACGAAAUUGAAAUGGCUGUGAAGAUGCGGCCUACUUGCACAUGGACAAAAAGACCCCGGGAGCUUUACUGAAGCUAGGUAUUGAUGGGGAAGGAUUAAUUGUUGAGCGUAGGAGGGAGUCUUCGGACGACAAUGAAACACCUCUCUUUGAUUUUUCUUCAUCUCAUCCCGCAUAGCGGGAAACAGUGCUUGGCGGUCAGUUUAACUGGGGCGGUUUCCUCCAAAAAGGUAACGGAGGAGCACAAAGGUCAGCUUGGUCCGGAUGGAAAUCGGACUGUACGUGCAUACGCAUAAGCUGGCUUAACUGCGAGAGUGACCACUCGAGCAGAUGCGAAAGCAGGUGUUAGUGAUCCCCUGACCCGCAGUGAUUGCGGUCAGGGCUUAACGGAUAAAAGCUACCCCGGGGAUAACAGGCUAGUCGCUUCCGAGAGUUCAUAUCGACGAAGCGGUUCGGCACCUCGAUGUCGGCUCACCGUUUCCUGGGGCUGAAGUAGGUCCCAAGGGUUGGACUGUUCGUCCAUUAAAACGGUACGCGAGCUGGGUUCAGAACGUCGUGAGACAGUUCGGACUCUAUCCUGUGCAAGCGCUUGAACUUUUGAGGAGGCACUCCUACAGUACGAGAGGACCUAGGAUGUGAAAAUCCCUGGUGUACCGGUUGGCUCACAAGGCCAGCGCCGGGUAGCUAUAUUUUUAACCGAUAAACACUGAAUGCAUCUCAAGUGUGAAGCGGGCUCCAAGAUUAGAAGUUCUUAUUAGUUUCGCGGAAGAAUACCGCGCAUAUAGGCCUUAGGUGUAAGCCCCGUAAGGGGUUUAGCCGAGAGGUACUAAGUAACGAUU